rnacentral:rRNA from 1 species
GAGGUCAGCAGGCAGAUCCAUUUUCUGCCACCGAAUACAUUAGCAUGGGAUAAUGGAAUAGGACCCUGUCCUCCUAUUUUCAGUUGGUUUUGGCAGCGCGAGGACUAGGGUAAUGAUUAAUAGGGAUAGUUGGGGGCAUUAAUAUUUAAUUGUCAGAGGUGAAAUUCUUGGAUUUAUGAAAGAUUAACUUCUGCGAAAGCAUCUGCCAAGGAUGUUUUCAUUAAUCAAGAACGAAAGUUAGGGGAUCGAAGACGAUCAGAUACCGUCGUAGUCUUAACCAUAAACGAUGCCGACCAGCGAUUAGGAGACGUUGAAUACAAAACACCACCAUCGGCGCGGUCGUCCUUGGCGUCUCUGUCCCUUUCAACGGGGGCAUGGCGCGAGGGCGGUUUACCCCGGUGGCACCGGUGAAUGACUCCCCUAGCAGGUUUGGGAAAAA